CGGAGGUGCGCGCUCUGCGCUCCGGUCCAGACCCAACCCCGCGCGCCCCUGGGCCAGUGGACUCCCAAGUCUCACUCGUGCACCCCGCAUCCCCCAAGAUGAAUGUGAGGAGAGUGGAAAGCAUCUCGGCUCAGCUGGAGGAGGCCAGCUCCACAGGCGGUUUCCUCUACGCUCAGAACAACACCAAACGCAGCAUUAAAGAGCGGCUCCUGAAGCUCUUGCCCUGCUCAGCUGCCAAAACGUCGUCUCCUGCUAUUCAAAACAGCGUGGAAGAUGAACUGGAGAUGGCCACAGUCAGGCAUCGGCCUGAGGCCCUGGAGCUGCUGGAAGCCCAGAGCAAAUUCACCAAGAAGGAGCUUCAAAUUCUUUAUAGAGGAUUUAAGAAUGAAUGUCCCAGUGGAGUUGUUAAUGAAGAAACCUUCAAAGAGAUUUACUCCCAGUUCUUUCCACAGGGAGACUCUACAACAUACGCGCAUUUUCUCUUCAACGCAUUUGAUACAGACCACAAUGGAGCUGUGAGUUUUGAGGAUUUCAUCAAAGGUCUUUCCAUUUUGCUUCGAGGGACUGUACAAGAAAAACUGAACUGGGCAUUUAAUUUGUAUGACAUUAAUAAAGAUGGCUACAUCACUAAAGAAGAAAUGCUCGAUAUAAUGAAAGCCAUUUACGACAUGAUGGGUAAAUGCACAUAUCCUGUCCUCAAAGAAGAUGCUCCCAGACAGCAUGUGGAGACAUUCUUUCAGAAAAUGGACAAAAACAAAGACGGGGUUGUUACCAUAGAUGAGUUCAUCGAAAGUUGCCAAAAAGUAAGUCAAGAGAGGAAAAAUAAAUUAGCCCUUUUGUUUUCCUAACAGCUAACCUGAGUAUAGCCAGUUAACUAACAUGAAGUAAGCAAAAUAUUUUUUAUUUUCCUGAGCCUAGCAAAUAUGAGGGCACAAUAUCAGGGAAAAAUAAACCUGAACUAUACAUCAAUUUUAUGCACACAUUCAUUUAGAGUAUCAUUCCUUGAAAUAGGGCACCUUCCAAGUCCUAGAGAUACAAAAGUUACCCACAUACUAUUUUAAGUGUACAUAUGAGAUGGGAAUUCCUUCUUUCCUGGACUUAGCACAUGACACAUACUAGAACUCCAGUACAGCCAAGUAUGCAUUGUAGAUCCAGCUGAUAUCCUUUUUAAAAGGGAAGUGUGAUUGCUUUAGUGGAUGUGGGCAGAAUGGCUUAUGGGCUGAACCCAGUUAAGUCUUUAGUUACAAAAAGUAGAGUGACAAGUUCUUAAGGGAGAAAAGUGGAUCAUUACUGGCCAUCUGGGAAAUCAGUGUUACGGUGCUUGGAAGUACCUGAUGAUGUGUGGGUAGAGCAUGGUGAAGAACUUUUAAAAUCAUCAUAGGGGACGUCUGUUGGUGCUUUGUGUCUUCUCUUUUUCAUUUGCUCAGAUUUGCUUUUCCUGAUAUCUCUUCAUUUCUCAGCUGCGUAAAAGAUGUCUUUGCAAGAAACUUGCUGACAUCUGCUUGCUUAGUAGUGAUGGUUGUUACUUGGUUUUAAGCCAUAGAAAAGCCAUUUACCGGUGUUCAACCACAGUUUUUGUUUACCUGAUUCUAUUGAUUUGCACUCUGUGGAAGCCUUUCUACUGUCUGUUUUUAAAAUAUUUUUAAAGUAUUAUGCAGUUUUUAAUCUUGUUAUAUUAAGGAGUUAUGCAAAGAGGUUACAAGUCCAUGUCAGGUUCAGAACACAAUUCAUUUUUAUUGGUACCACUCAUUCCAUCAUUCUCCCGCAAUCUCUCCCUCCCAUCCUUCCUUAUCCUCAACUUUCAUAGUUCAGUGUAAAUGACUAUAAGGACUUUUCAGCCACUAUUUAGGAGGAUAAACAGUCUAUAAAGACCAUAUAACAUGUAAUUGACAAGUGCAUAUACAAUAUCCAGUUUAUCAUUCAUUAAGAAUAUGCUAGUCUGAAUCCAGCCCUUGCAAUGGUUAAACUUAGUGAAUCCUCUCUGGCACUAAGAACACUCUCAUUUGUAAAAGUUCCUGAAGGUCACACCGUGUUAGUCAUCAUUGGCAGGCAGGGAGAGUGUGAUGUGAUCACUAGAAACAUCCACUACUCUGCACACUGGCUCGUGUGUUUUAGACUGUGAUGUGAUCUACCUUUAAUUACGACUUCAAAAUUCUUACUUGCUCAUUUCCAUUUGCCCCCUCUACUAAUCUCUGCCUCUACCAACAUUCUGGCAGUGUGAUUUGAGAAAUAUCCUCUGCUAACAAGAAGAAAGAUUCAAAUGACAUAUUUUAAGCCUGCUAGAUGUAAGAAAAUACACAACAGACCCUUUAUGGCAAGAUACUGGAGAAAUGCCUCGAAUGGGCUUUAUGUCUUGCAAACAGGAUGCACACUUUGGCAGUGUGAGUCACUUUCCACUGCUGAUCCACUUUUCUGUUUUUCUUACAGGAUGAAAAUAUCAUGCGCUCCAUGCAGCUCUUUGAAAACGUGAUUUGACAUGUCAAGGAAUCCUCAGACCAAUGUGAACCCCUCUACCACACUUAAAGAGGGAGCUACCACUCUUAGCAUAGGUUGCUCAGCUUUACACUGAGGCAUAUGAUGCAACAAGCUUUGUUUUAAUAUAAAACAACCCCCACCCCCCCAAGCCAGUUAUAAACCCGCAUCCGUUUCAUAAUGUCACUGAGUUCAUGAGAUGUUUCUCGUUUCAGACUCUGUGAAUAUUCAGAAGUAAGAGAAUCCGGCACAUAGUUUCAAUUCCUUAGCCAAGGGAUUAUUAAGGCUUUCACAUAUCAGCGAUUUUAAACUAUCAGAUAUUUUGCUACUCAUUUGUAUGCUAUCAGUUCUAGGAUUUUAAAUGUUUUUCUAAAAUAUUUAGAUCAGCUUUUAAUUUCCAGAAACCAAUUUUCAUUUAAUUCCAUUAAUGUAACGGAAACCA